UACGUAGGGGGCAAGCGUUGUCCGGAUUUAUUGGGCGUAAAGAGCGUGUAGGCGGCCUGAAAGGUCAGCUGUGAAAACUCGAGGCUCAACCUCGAGACGUCGGUUGAAACCAUCUGGCUAGAGUCCGGAAGAGGAGUGUGGAAUUCCCGGUGUAGCGGUGAAAUGCGUAGAUAUCGGAAGGAACGCCGGUGGCGAAAGCGACGUGCUGGACCUCUUCUGACGCUGAGGCGCGAAAGCCAGGGGAGCAAACGGG
rnacentral:rRNA from 1 species